GCGACGCCUCAGGUGGUGAGGUUCCUUAACGGUUGCCCCUUUGAUAUAAAACUCCCGAGUUGCUUCUUUGCAGCUGGGUCCUCCUUCCUGCGUCAUGUGUUGGUGGUGUGUCCUAGCUCGGGAUUGUCAUUAGCCAAAGGCCAGAAGUUACCUUCCGCUGGUGGUCGUCACUACCACUCUGUUCCCUGCAACACACUUCGAACAAAUUGCCGUGCUGGCCCACGUGUCGGGCAUCGCUGAACGUCCGUCUGAUUCCGGUUUGUCUGGAUCCAUAUUAAGACGACAGGCAUUGGCACAAUUUCCCAGCAGGCGAUGUGACAUGUUCUGGCGACAGUCGCGGAUUUAUUUUCCCUCUAAUGAAACACAAUGGUGGAAAUGCAGAUGACCAGGAGGCCAGGAGGGGAGUAGCCCAGGGAUACAUACUGAGAGGGGCUUGAGUUGAGGAAUGAUCAAUGCUAGCAACAACAAUGAAUCACCACCAGCCAAUUCUUUGAAAACUGUCAACUGUCAUAAAAAGCUCUGCUUGAGGUGCAGCACAUUUUGAAGCACUCGUCAAACAGGAGAUGUCUAGCAUUUACAAAUGUGGUAAGAAGUUUACCAACAAAAUCUCUUAUCCAUAAGUAUCUGAAAAAACUAUAUACCUGAGAAGAUUUCCCACAGCAAAUCAAUAGAGGCAAAGGGGCCCUCCAUAUAUCCUCUAUGAUAUAAAUAGGUCUCUAUAGCGGUCAAUGGUAUUAUCAAGGAUUGAGGCGCAAAGAAAGGUGUUUCUCACUAUCGGGAGCAAAAAUGAGACUGGUCUAAGGUCAAAGUGACCCUUGAUCUGCUUCCACAUAUGGACCGCGAUGGGCCCAGAUGACAUCAUUGGCCA
ensembl:lncRNA